UACUGAGUAUAUUACUAAGUAGUCAUUUAGUCUUUGCUGAGGCUAAUUAGUAAUAAUGGAGAAAAACUGUUCUCCCGCUGACCUUGAAUCCAGACCACAGACAAAUUCCUUAAUUUAUCCAGAAGUUUUCAAAAGGUGCUAUGGGCCCUAGAGUCCCUGUUAAAGAAUGAGGCUGACCAGGUGGUCCCAUUCUGUGAGACCACAGGGCUGUUACUGUAGGCUCAGAAAUGAUGACCUUGCUGAGCCUUUAAGGCCACAACCCUGUGUACUGUGGACAGAGUGAUCUCUGAAGGCUGCCAGUCACUCCAAGUGAGCCAAUCAGCACAAGCUAUCUGGAAUUAAAAGCUAUAUUAAGUUAUGAAUGAGAGGGCUCCUGUGAGGAUGGGAUCUGGUGUCCUGUAUUACCAUAAGCUCUACGCUGCUCUAGACUUUGAUUGUUGAGGCAGCUGAGAUACAGGCAAGCCCAAAUCUAGAGCUUGGAAAGGACCCUGUGAGGCUAUUCUAGUCCUUUGGGGGCCUCAGUGCAGGUAGCUCUGGAGUGAGAAAUGGGGUAGGACCUGGGAGCCUCAAGUGGGAAGUGACUAUGGGGGGUCAAACAUGCUGGAAUGCAUUUUGAGGGCUGUUUUUAUUUCCUGGACUUGUAUGUUUUUAUUUCCUCUUUGCCCUUCCUUAGGAUUUACUAAAGCUCUUUGGGAAGUUUCAGCUGCUUCAGCUGUGUGUAUGUGUGUGUGUGUGUGUGUGUGUGUGUGUCAGAUCUUCGGUGUGAGGUGAUGGACAGAGGACAGUGAGGGAUUUGCUGGGGGUGAGGUUGAGCUUGUAUCAGUAUCAGGAAGCAGAAACUCUGGGUUUUAUGGUCGGGGGGCAGGGGUUUUUCUCUUCCCCUCCCAGACCCUGUUGCAGCAGUGAGGCGGCCCAGGUCAUGACGGGGAUUAUUUCUUCCUUUCAUUUCUGGCAAAAGCUACAGGAGGGGAGUUCCCCUUCUCUGUUUGUUUUGAUUCUGUUGUUUUCUUAAAGAGAGGAAGGAAAACCAUCAUCACUUUUUCGGUUUUGUGAACAAUAAAGGCAGGCUGAGAGGAUGUUCGCCUGGGCUGGGGCUGUGGGGGCUGGGCCAACACCUCCUCCUCUUUCCCUCUGGCAACCCUUCUCCUGGCAGCUCGGCGCCUGGGGAGACCCCCAGAACACAGAUCAGGCCACGUUGUGGGGUCAAGUUUAAGUGCCGGCUCUGCCUUUUAACUGCUUUUCACUGGUCUGAGGUGUAUCUGUAUAAAUGGGAGUCAUAGGGUUGUUGAGAUUAAAAACAAAAAUACUCGCUUGUAAAAACACAGUGCUGGGCCUACACUAAAUGUCCCAGAAAUGUCUUUCCUUUGCUUCCUUCCACUGGGGGGGUCUAUAUCAUGAGCCCAGUGGUAUGGUAUACCCAGGGCCACCCUCCUGUCUUCCUGCUUGUCCACCCAGAGCCGGCUUCUUCCAUGGCAGGACCUGCAAAUGCUGGACUCACAGAAGGCUCUGAGAAGUAAAUAACAGAUGGAGUUUUACUUUUGCUGCCCAGGCUGGAGUACGAUGGUGCGAUCUCAGCUCACUGCAACCUCCGCCUCCUGGAUUCAAGCGAUUCUCCUGCCUCAGCCUCCCGAGUAGUUGGGGCCUGGCUAAUAUAUAUAUAUAUUUUUUAGUAGAGACGGGGUUUCUCCAUGUUGGUCAGGGUGGUCUCAAACUCUGACCUCAGGUGAUCCACCCGCCUCGGCCUCCCAAAGUGCUGGGAUUACAGGCAUGAGCCACCACAGCCGGCCCAAAUAUUACAUUUAAAAGCAAAAAUAAAAACAAACCCACGAGUGCC